CCUUUGCAAUGUGCGCAAGCACGACAAGGUUAAUCCGAGUGUUUCCUGCUAAAGGAAUCUUUUGUUAGUUGUAAAACCACUGAUGAAUAAGGGGUGGGCAAGUUCUGGUGUCAGCCGCCGCGGUAAAACCAGCACCUCAAGUGGUCAGGAUGAUUAUUGGGCCUAAAGCAUCCGUAGCCUGUUCUGUAAGUUUCCGGUUAAAUCCAUUAGCUCAACUAAUGGGCUGCCGAAAAUACUGCAAAACUAGGGAGUGGGAGAGGUAGACGGUACUCGGUAGGAAGGGGUAAAAUCCUUUGAUCUAUUGAUGACCACCUGUGGCGAAGGCGGUCUACCAGAACACGUUCGACGGUGAGGGAUGAAAGCUGGGGGAGCAAACCGGAUUAGAUACCCGUGUAGU
rnacentral:rRNA from 2 species